UGGGGGAUAACGUCCGGAAACGGGCGCUAAUACCGCAACGUCCUGAGGGAGAAAGUGGGGGAUCUUCGGACCUCAGGCUAUCAGAUGAGCCUAGGUCGGAUUAGCUAGUUGGUGGGGUAAAGGCCUACCAAGGCGACGAUCCGUAACUGGUCUGAGAGGAUGAUCAGUCACACUGGAACUGAGACACGGUCCAGACUCCUACGGGAGGCAGCAGUGGGGAAUAUUGGACAAUGGGCGAAAGCCUGAUCCAGCCAUGCCGCGUGUGUGAAGAAGGUCUUCGGAUUGUAAAGCACUUUAAGUUGGGAGGAAGGGCAGUAAGUUAAUACCUUGCUGUUUUGACGUUACCAACACAAUAAGCACCGGCUAACUUCGUGCCAGCAGCCGCGGUAAUACGAAGGGUGCAAGCGUUAAUCGGAAUUACAGGGCGUAAAGCGCGCGUAGGUGGUUCAGCAAGUUGGAUGUGAAAUCCCCGGGCUCAACCUGGGAACUGCAUCCAAAACUACUGAGCUAGAGUACGGUAGAGGGUGGUGGAAUUUCCUGUGUAGCGGUGAAAUGCGUAGAUAUAGGAAGGAACACCAGUGGCGAAGGCGACCACCUGGACUGAUACUGACACUGAGGUGCGAAAGCGUGGGGAGCAGACAGGAUUAGAUACCCUGGUAGUCCACGCCAUACACGAUAUCGACUAGCCCUUGGGAUCCUUGAGAUCUUAGUGGCGCACCUAACGCGAUAAGUCGACCGCCGGGGGAGUACGGCCGCACGGUUAAGACUCAAAUGAAUUGACUGGGGCCCGCACAAGCGGUGGAGCAGGUGGUUUAAUUCGAAGCAACGCGAAGAACCUUACCUGGCCUUGACAUGCUGAGAACUUUCCAGAGAUGGAUUGGUGCCUUCGGGAACUCAAACACAGGUACUGCAGGGCUGUCGUCAGCUCGUGUCGUGAGAUGUUGGGUUAAGUCCCGUAACGAGCGCAACCCUUGUCCUUAGUUACCAGCACCUCGGGUGG
rnacentral:rRNA from 1 species